rnacentral:lncRNA from 1 species
UCUCCCUCUCUUCCUCUCCCUUUCCCUCCCUCCCCCUCUCUCCUGUCAUCCAUCUUCCCAGCUCCCCUAAGAGAGCCAUUUUGGUUCCAUACAAAGGGUUGGGACUGAACGGAGGGCAGGAGACUCUGAAGCCACUGUCUUUUGUGUCUUGUUGUUGUUGUUGUUGUUGUUGUUGUUGUUGCUAAACUUCAGAUUCAGCAGUGGGACUGUUUCUUUCUGUUAUAGCCUCGAUUUUCCUAACUUUAAACCCAGAGUCACCAUGCAGCGUCCCUUGGGAGCACAGAAUACAGGGUGUGGGGAAGGAAAUCACAACCCCUCUGGAACUUUUGGGAAGGACCAGGUUCAACUCCCCAAAUGCCCUUAGGAGUGAAACUCAAAACCCAUCCCUAGGCUAAACUGGGCAGCCCAACUAAACCCUUGCCUUGAGAAGGGGGGCACUGAGCACUGGGCUUGCUUAAGCCCUGCUAACCACAAGCUGCCAAUUACCACAUGCAGAUCAGGGCAAGCUCCUACCCUCCCCAGAAAUGACCAAUGGAAAAGAAAGAACAGAGUCCGGCCUGGCCAGGCAGGAUACAGUCUAUGGAAAGGGGUUGUUUUUGUUUCCAUUGCCAUAGCAAACACAUCCUCUUGACUUACUGAGGAGGGAAACAGUAUGGUCGCCCUGCUGGAGGUUACCAAGGUGAACAGAAGCCGAGAUUAAAAUCUGCCAGCCCAGAGAUGCUCUGAAACACAGGAAGGCCCAGAGAGGAAAUCUAGUGUGCUAUUGGUAAAUUUUUUUUGGACGCUGUUUACGUUUGAACUUUUCUCUGUUUUCCUGUCGAAACUUCCGUACCCUCUUCCUGAGUCACCACGAAGGCCUGGACAAUGCAGUCCCUGCGCUGCGGUCGGACAUGGGCAGGGCCCCACUUCCUCCUUCCUGCAGGGAUAUCCUUCCUUUCCUAUAGAAGAGACAUCUGAGGCAGGCUCCGCUCCGACACAGAACUGGCGAUUCAUGCUGAACGUAAAGGCAAGCGUGCCUGUUUUCCAGGGCUGCCAUGCCAACUCCAGCAGCAGAAAGAAGUUGACAGGGGCCAGGAGGCCCACUUGUGCCAAGGGUUUGGCACCUUGGAGGGUGUAGUGGAGCGUGCAGUUCCCAAGCUGGCUGCGUGUGGAGUGGCUCGCAGCAUCUGGACGGGCUUACAGUAGUGUGGAAAUCUGCAUCGGUGCACGUAAAACCAAAACCAAACCAAACAAAAGGGAGAAAAAAACAAAACAAAAACAAAAAACCAAUUCAUUAUAUUUCAAUACAUAUGUUUAUCUGUGAGUAUGUAUUUAAAAUGGCACGUAAAAUUUGCCCGAGGGCAUGCUGCAAGCUAAGGUUGCUGGAGAAUGGCUACACCUCUGGAUGUCUUUCCAGUGCAGAAAGCUGGGAAAGGUGAAACCCCACACCUGAGCAUCCCAGAUGCUGGCGUUUUAAUUUGUGUGCAGGAACUGGAGAGGUGCUCUUUGUCCAAGGUGGAUGAACAUAGCUGGCCUCAGGCCAAGGCUAAGUAAUUAGUGGGAAAUAUUCAAUUAUUUAGAAUGAAUAUACACCAUCUCUAUUGCUACUACAAAAAAAAUCAACUAAGUCUAUGUUGCCCAGUGAUCUUUUCAGUAGCUAUAUUUGUAUUUAAACAUUUUUUUGUGUUAAAGUUAAAUAAAACUUAGAAUCUC